rnacentral:rRNA from 1 species
CCUACGGGAGGCAGCAGUGGGGAAUAUUGGACAAUGGGCGAAAGCCUGAUCCAGCCAUGCCGCGUGUGUGAAGAAGGUCUUCGGAUUGUAAAGCACUUUAAGUUGGGAGGAAGGGCCGUUACCUAAUACGUGAUGGUUUUGACGUUACCGACAGAAUAAGCACCGGCUAACUCUGUGCCAGCAGCCGCGGUAAU